UAUAAGGGAUUUUGAGUUUUUGCUUACAAUGUUUGACCACUCGUCUUAUUCAAAAAAUUUUGAAAUUAUUAUUUAUGUUAUUUGUGACUUACCUACAGUACUUUAAGUACAACUUUUCGUUUUUUAUAUUUGCAAAAAAAUUUUAAAUAAGACGAAUGGUCAAACGUUACAAACAAAAACUCAAAAUCCCUUAUA
rfam:Oryza rufipogon genomic scaffold, chr05